GAAAUGCGAUAAGUGAUGUGAAUUGCAGAAUUCAGUGAAUCAUCGAAUCUUUGAACGCACCUUGCGCUCCUUGGUAUUCCUUGGAGCAUGCCUGUUUGAGUAUCAUGAAAUCUUCAAAGUAAAUCUUUUGUUAACUCAAUUGGUUUCUACUUUGGUAUUGGAGGUCUUUGCAGCUUCACACCUGCUCCUCUUUGUUCAUUAGCUGGAUCUCAGUGUUAUGCUUGGUUCCACUCGGCGUGAUAAGUUAUCUAUCGCUGAGGACACUGUAAAAGGUGGCCAAGGUAAAUGCAGAUGAACCGCUUCUAAUAGUCCAUUGACUUGGACAAUACUUUUAUGAUCUGAUCUCAAAUCAGGUAGGACUACCCGCUGAACUUAAGA
rnacentral:misc_RNA from 1 species